GUUUCAAUCUUGCGAUAGUGUUUAUUUAUAGCAGCGCGUGCUCGCGAAUUUGAUAUGGUACUUUAUCCCAUUUCAUUUCCACAUCGACACCUAUAUACGGGUUUUAUUGUGUAUGAAUGCGUAAAGUUCGAAAAUCUCCCAUAAAAACGGCGUGCAUCCGCAAUCCGAUUUCAAAAAGUGCAUGUGGGUAUACACCUACUUAGACAGGCGCCUUCUUAUAUACCUCAGGGAUACGUGUCCUUGCGCGCAUAAUUUGCGGGACAUUUUAUUGUAUUUAUUCAGCGAUUAUUUUAUAUGGGCGUUUAUAAGUAAUAAGCUGACAGCAGAAAACAUAGUCUACAUCAGAGUUGGACCACGAUAUCAAACUCCAAUGGAGGAUUGACUUCAUCAUCAUGGUUA